GAUGAACGCUGGCGGCGUGCCUAAUACAUGCAAGUCGAGCGAACGGACGAGAAGCUUGCUUCUCUGAUGUUAGCGGCGGACGGGUGAGUAACACGUGGAUAACCUACCUAUAAGACUGGGAUAACUUCGGGAAACCGGAGCUAAUACCGGAUAAUAUUUUGAACCGCAUGGUUCAAAAGUGAAAGACGGUCUUGCUGUCACUUAUAGAUGGAUCCGCGCUGCAUUAGCUAGUUGGUAAGGUAACGGCUUACCAAGGCAACGAUGCAUAGCCGACCUGAGAGGAUGAUCGGCCACACUGGAACUGAGACACGGUCCAGACUCCUACGGGAGGCAGCAGUAGGGAAUAUUCCGCAAUGGGCGAAAGCCUGACGGAGCAACGCCGCGUGAGUGAUGAAGGUCUUCGGAUCGUAAAACUCUGUUAUUAGGGAAGAACAUAUGUGGAAGUAACUGUGCACAUCUUGACGGUACCUAAUCAGAAAGCCACGGCUAACUACGUG
rnacentral:rRNA from 1 species